UACGUAGGCUCCAAGCGUUGUUCGGAAUUACUGGGCGUAAAGCGAGCGUAGGCGGCUUGCCAAGUCGAUUGUGAAAUCUCCCGGCUCAACCGGGAGGGUGCGGUCGAAACUGACAAGCUAGAGUCCGGGAGAGGAGAGUGGAAUUCCUGGUGUAGCGGUGAAAUGCGUAGAUAUCAGGAGGAACACCGGUGGUGAAGACGGCUCUCUGGACCGGUACUGACGCUGAGGCUCGAAAGCGUGGGGAGCAAACAGG
rnacentral:misc_RNA from 1 species